rnacentral:lncRNA from 1 species
CGCUUGUGGCGCUCGGGUCGCAGAAGCGUCAGUGGCUGUCGCUGCGGCUGCGUGGCGGGUUGUCCAGGUAACCACGGGAGUUGCCGCUGUCCGGUAGCAUCUGAACAACAGUUGCACGUCCGGUAGCAUCUGAACAACAGUUGCGUGUCAGGCAGUUGAAGCACCUGCUGAGCUCUCAGGAUGGAGCUGCAAAGGUGACUUGUAUGGCUUGGUCCCAGAACAAUGCCAAAUUUGCUGUCUGCACAGUGGAUCGAGUGGUAUUGCUGUAUGAUGAACAUGGAGAAUGGAGAGAGAAAUUCUCCACCGAACCAGCUGACAUGAAGCUAUAUGGUGAAGGGCAUGGCUUUUUCUCCUGA